rnacentral:rRNA from 1 species
CCUACGGGAGGCAGCAGUGGGGAAUAUUGGACAAUGGGGGCAACCCUGAUCCAGCCAUGCCGCGUGUGUGAAGAAGGCCUUCGGGUUGUAAAGCACUUUAAGUUGGGAGGAAGGUUGGUUGGCUAAUACCCGAUCAAAUUGACGUUACCAACAGAAUAAGCACCGGCUAACUCCGUGCCAGCAGCCGCGGUAAUACGGAGGGUGCAAGCGUUAAUCGGAAUUACUGGGCGUAAAGCGCGCGUAGGCGGCCAUUUAAGCUAGAUGUGAAAUCCCCGGGCUUAACCUGGGAAUUGCAUUUAGAACUGGGUGGCUAGAGUAUGGAAGAGGAGUGUGGAAUUUCCGGUGUAGCGGUGAAAUGCGUAGAGAUCGGAAGGAACAUCAGUGGCGAAGGCGACACUCUGGUCCAAUACUGACGCUGAGGUGCGAAAGCGUGGGGAUCA